rnacentral:rRNA from 1 species
GACGAACGCUGGCGGCGUGCUUAACACAUGCAAGUCGAACGGAAAGGCCCUGCUUUUGUGGGGUGCUCGAGUGGCGAACGGGUGAGUAACACGUGAGUAACCUGCCCUUGACUUUGGGAUAACUUCAGGAAACUGGGGCUAAUACCGGAUAGGAGCUCUUGCUGCAUGGGGGGGGUUGGAAAGUUUCGGCGGUUGGGGAUGGACUCGCGGCUUAUCAGCUUGCUGGUGGGGUAGUUGCUUACCAAGGCUUUGACGGGUAGCCGGCCUGAGAGCGUGACCGGCCACAUUGGGACUGCGAUACGGCGCAGACUGCUACGGGCGGCAGCAGUCGAGAAUCUUGCACAAUGGGCGGGAGCCUGAUGCAGAAACGCCGCGUGCGGGAUGACGGCCUACGGGUUGUAAACAGAUUUCGACUGUGACGAAGCGUGAGUGACGGUAAUGGGUAAAGAAGCACCGGCUAACUACGUG